rnacentral:rRNA from 1 species
AUGCCGCGUGCAGGAUGAAGGCCUUCGGGUUGUAAACUGCUUUUGUACAGAACGAAAAGUCUUGGGUUAAUACCCUGGGAUCAUGACGGUACUGUAAGAAUAAGCACCGGCUAACUACGUGCCAGCAGCCGCGGUAAUACGUAGGGUGCAAGCGUUAAUCGGAAUUACUGGGCGUAAAGCGUGCGCAGGCGGUUAUGUAAGACAGAGGUGAAAUCCCCGGGCUCAACCUGGGAACGGCCUUUGUGACUGCAUAGCUAGAGUACGGUAGAGGGGGAUGGAAUUCCGCGUGUAGCAGUGAAAUGCGUAGAUAUGCGGAGGAACACCGAUGGCGAAGGCAAUCCCCUGGACCUGUACUGACGCUCAUGCACGAAAGCGUGGGGAGCAAACAGGAUUAGAUACCCUGGUAGUCCACGCCCUAAACGAUGU